rnacentral:rRNA from 1 species
CGGUGUGAGUAGAGUGGCGCACGGGUGAGUAACACGUAGGUGAUCUGCCUUUUGGUGGGGGAUAACCAGAAGAAAUUCUGGCUAAUACCGCAUAAGAUGAACAAAUUUGGAAGUAGUUCAUGAAAGAAUGCCUCUGCAUAUGCAUUCACCGAUUGAGGAGCCUGCGCGACAUUAGCUUGAUGGUGGGGUAACGGCCUACCUUGGCAACGAUGUCUAGCGGAUUUGAGAGAAUGAUCCGCCACACUGGAACUGAGACACGGUCCAGACUCC